GUUAAGUUCGCCGCCUGGGGAGUACGGUCGCAAGAAUGAAACUCAAAGGAAUUGACGGGGGCCCGCACAAGCGGUGGAGUAUGUGGUUUAAUUCGAUGCAACGCGCAGAACCUUACCUGGCCUUGGCAUGUCCGGAAUCCUGCCGAGAUGCGGGAGUGCCUUCGGGAAUCGGAACACAGGUGCUGCAUGGCUGUCGUCAGCUUGUGUCGUGAGAUGUUGGGUUAAGUCCCGCAACGAGCGCAACCCUUGUCCUUAGUUGCCAGCACGUGAUGGUGGGAACUCUAAGGAGACUGCCGGUGACAAACCGGAGGAAGGUGGGGAUGACGUCAAGCCAUCAUGGCCCUUACGGCCAGGGCUACACACGUACUACGAUGGUCGGUACAGAGGGCAGAGAGACCGCGCGGUGGAGCCAAUCCCAGAAAACCGAUCUCAGUCCGGAUUGGAGUCUGCAACUCGACUCCAUGAAGUCGGAAUCGCUAGUAAUCGCGGAUCAGCCAUGCCGCGGUGAAUACGUUCCCGGGCCUUGUACACACCGCCCGUCACACCAUGGGAGUGGGCUGCACCAGAAGCCGGUAGUCUAAAAGCAAGGAGGACGCCGACCACGGUGUGGUUCAUGACUGGGGUGAAGUCGUAACAAGGUAACCGU
rnacentral:rRNA from 1 species